UAAAAAAUAAGCUAAAUAAGCUAUUAGGUUCAUACCCUAACUAUAUAGGUUAAAUCCUUUUUUUUUAA
rnacentral:tRNA from 1 species